rnacentral:tRNA from 1 species
GCCUGGGUGGCUCAGCCGGUUGAGCAUCUGACUUCAGCUCAGGUCAUGAUCUCGCGGUUCGUGAGUUCGAGCCCCGCGUCCGGCU